rnacentral:rRNA from 1 species
CCUACGGGUGGCAGCAGUGAGGAAUAUUGGUCAAUGGACGAGAGUCUGAACCAGCCAAGUAGCGUGAAGGAUGACUGCCCUAUGGGUUGUAAACUUCUUUUAUAUGGGAAUAAAACGUUCCACGUGUGGGAUUUUGUAUGUACCAUAUGAAUAAGGAUCGGCUAACUCCGUGCCAGCAGCCGCGGUAAUACGGAGGAUGCGAGCGUUAUCCGGAUUUAUUGGGUUUAAAGGGAGCGUAGGUGGAUUGUUAAGUCAGUUGUGAAAGUUUGCGGCUCAACCGUAAAAUUGCAGUUGAAACUGGCAGUCUUGAGUACAGUAGAGGUGGGCGGAAUUCGUGGUGUAGCGGUGAAAUGCUUAGAUAUCACGAAGAACUCCGAUUGCGAAGGCAGUUCACUGGACUGCAACUGACACUGAGGCUCGAAAGUGUGGGUAUCAAACAGGAUUAGAUACCCUUGUAGUC